CUGUGACGUCACCUUAUCUUCCCCUCCCCCCCGAUGGCCUGUGGGCGUGGUAGUGCGGGACUGGGGCGGAGCUACCGCGGGAGGCACCUCGGAGGCGGCCAGCGUUUGCUCGUCGGUGUGAACCCGUUGGGAAUCCGGUUGCGCAUCGCUGCACUUGUCCUAGGUGACCUAGUCGCUAGCCCUUCAGGGCCUGCGUAUUUGUGGGACAGCUGUAGACUGAUGGAAAGUUCUUAGCCGGAGAUGGAGGCAUUGCAGGGAGCUGACACCCGGUCAAGAGGCUUGGAGAGAGUUGAUCUGCGAGAGAGGUGGCAGAGGCAAAAGACCAAAACAGCCCAUUCAAGUGCAAAGAAACAACCCUGAGACCCAACUGUGAUGAGUAUUGGAGGUGUGGUGGAGCACUCAGUUCCUGUUGGAAGCCUGGGAUGGAGGCUGUGCUCAUCAUGAUGGGCCAAGAAGCAGGAAAGCAAACAAGGAAUCAGGAAACCAGAUCCUUUGGGACAGGAGUCACAUGCUGCCACCGUUGGGUGCUGGGAACAGAACCCAGGACCCCUGGAAGAGGAGCAAGUGCUCCUAAUGUGAGCUGGAGAAGUCUUUCUACCCAGUUCUGUUUUUUAAAAGGAUACUUUCACUUCUCACUUGACAGACACAAAUUAUUCAGUGUAUCCUCUUGAAAGAUUUUCACUUAUGUUCCCGUUA
rnacentral:lncRNA from 1 species